CCUACGGGUGGCUGCAGUGAGGAAUAUUGGUCAAUGGGCGCGAGCCUGAACCAGCCAAGUAGCGUGAAGGAUGACUGCCCUACGGGUUGUAAACUUCUUUUAUAAAGGAAUAAAGUGAGGCACGUGUGCCUUUUUGUAUGUACUUUAUGAAUAAGGAUCGGCUAACUCCGUGCCAGCAACCGCGGUAAUACGGAGGUUCCAAGCGUUAUCCGGAUUUAUUGGGUGUAAAGGGAGCGUAGAUGGGUUGUUAAGUCAGUUGUGAAAGUUUGCGGCUCAACCGGAAAAUUGCAAUGGAUACUGGCAGCCUUGAGUACAGUAGAGGUAGGCGGAAUUCGAGGUGUAGCGGUGAAAUGAUUAGAUAUCACGAAGAACUCCGAUUGCGAAGGCAGCUUACUAAACUGCCACUGACAUUGAUGCUCGAAAGUGUGGGUAUCAAACAGGAUUAGAUACCCUAGUAGUC
rnacentral:rRNA from 1 species